AGGUUUUUUUUAUCAUGUGCACUUCUCACAGUUCAUCAUCUUAUGGGCGUCCCUCGGGAGGAAGGUCUUUCCUGGGUUCUGACGUCAGGCUUUAUGGACCAAAGAACUACAGACUCUUCACAACCUGCUCAAACUCUUGCUCCAGGACCUCACCACACGGGUCAAGAAGGUUUCUGUCUCAUUUCUACUCUGAAGCUCACCUUCUCCUGCUCAAACUGCUGACAAAUGUUUCUGCUGCUCUAAAGUCUGGUCUCCAGAACUUCCUAAAAACUCUCAAAGGCUCUUCUGCCGCAGGUUGCUAUGUAGAACUGUUGCAGAAAACCUCACUAAACCACAUGGAGGGGCCUCAAGAUAGUCGUCCAAAUGAAACCAUACAAAAACCAAACUAGCACAACCCAAAUGCUAAAGUCUCCUGCAGCCUACCAGAGAACCUUUGAGAACAGAGAAUCAGGACAGGAACUCUUACCUUCUGGACAACCAACGUUGGUUCUCAAACAAGAAUACAGAAUGUGUCUGACCAAAAACCUCUAAAGACUCACUACAGCCAAGAUAAAGACACAACUCAGCUGUACCAAAUCCACUAAUCACUGCACACAUUAGCACCAUGUGCUAACUGUGGCUAAAGAACCCCAUUUACAGAGACAACUAUCCAGUACAAAGCCCUAAAACACACCAAGAAACACAUUAAAGACGAUUUUACUGCUGGAAGCUGCAAGCCAACACCUAAAGAACAAACUAAAGCAAAGGAGCCAAACCCGGUUCUGUGGUGAAGAGAAGCAGAGGAAAUGUUUGGCUGCAGCUAAAUAAAGCAGGAAGACACUGAGCUGCUCAGGUGUUCCUGAUAACACCAAGCAGCCACCUGGACAGCCAAUAGGAACACAGCCACCUGGACAGCCAAUAGGAACACAGCUUACUGGAAGUCCAGAGGGCUGGGUUAGUGAAGGAAAUUUACUUUAAAGUUGAAGCAGAAAGUUAACAAAGAAAGUUGAAAACCACCAUCUGAUACCUGAAAUCUCUGAGUUUUCACACAAAGAACACCUGAACAUGUCAAACUGGUUUCAUAGUAGAACCAUCAUUGUAAAAACGUCAUAGUAUGGUGUGUUGCUCAAAGAAAAUAAAAUUUUGUCCACUGAG